UUUUUUCUUUUUUUUUGGCCGUGCCCACGGCAUGUGGACGUUCCUGGGCCAGGGGUAGAAUUUGUACCACAGCCGCAACCAGAGCCACAGCAGUAACACCACCAGCUCCUUAACCCACUGGGCCACAAGUGAACUCCUGGAAGGAAACUUUUUUAUUCAGGUUGAGAACACUAACCUAGUCACUGAGCUAAAAAAGUAAUGACCUUUUUUUUUUUAAGAGAAAAAGGUAACAUGGAGAGAUGAAGGCAAAUACAGGCGGAGGAAUAUCCAGUUCUCUUUUUCUCCUCCCUCCCUCCCUGCUUCAGUCCCUGCUGACGGAGCAGCUGCAGGCCAGGCGAGGUUCAGGUCACUGGGAACGCACGGUGCGGGAGAGACAGGGCUGCUCUCUUGGAGCCUGCAUGUCCCCGGGGCAGCGACUCUCACUGAAUGAGCCUGCAGAGGGAUGACCCCGUCAGAGCUGUGAAGGCCACGCACAGAAAGCCAUGGGGGGUGGUGCUUCCCCAGGAACCUCCCCGGAGUCCCGAGAGGUGGGCAGGAGUUUGUGGAGAAGACUGAGGCCUUUUCCAGGAGCUGAGAGGAGGCCCUCGGGGCUGGAGCCUGGGCAGUGGGGCGUGUGGUACCGCAGAGCUGGAGGUGGGUGGGGUGUGAAGCUUGUGGGCCAGGUGAAGGAUGCUGCCCUCCUUCCUAGGAGCCACCAGCAGGAAAGCACCUUUAAGGAGGCAGUGUGAUCAGAUUCUGUCGGGGAUUUCACUGGAUGGGGAGAGGAAUGGAUGGCGAGCCCCCGCCCAGGCAAGGUGAGAGAUGAGGGUAGCUUCCAGCAGGCCACGCGAGAGCACCCACCUAGGAAGAAAAUGUACAGAGCCUGGUGGCGUUUAGGGAAGAAUGGGGGAGGAAGGAACUAAAUGUGACCAUCAGGUGCUUGCCUUGUGCAACCAACAGGUGGUGCUAGCACUUAGUGAGGUGGGGGUCCCAGGGGAACGCUGAUGGGGGGGCGGCUCUGAGCUCCCCCAGGGGAGAUGCCCGGAGAGCAAGGGCAAGUCUGGAGCUCUGAGGAGAUGCCUGAGCUGGAAACAUAAACCUGAGAGAGACAGAUAGACAGCCUUCAGGAAGGCAAAAAGGCAGUAAGAACGGAGAUGAGCACACGGUCCCCAGAGACACGAAGCCAGAAGCCACACACACAAGGGAGACACAGCCAGCUAAAGAGGCGCGUUUGUGGGCAGACUGAGACAAACAGAAGCAGGCUUUCACCAAGUAAUUGCUUGUGGCUUUUCUGGGUAUUGAAGAAAAGUAUUUUUGAAGCAGGGCUGCAGGUUGACAAUUAUGGGCAGAAACGAGGUGACCCCUCUUGGUCAGACAAACAUCAAACCGCAGCCAAAGAUCACUUUCCCCUGGCUUAGGUCCAAGUCACCUUCACAUUAGAAGGCCUGUGUGCACUGCCCCUGUGGUUCAAUCUCCUGGCAGUAAUCCAGGACAGGCCAAAGUACGCCUGGAUGCCCUGGAGAUUCUGUUGCUGAGACUUUCCUGCUGGAAAGGCACUUUCCAAAAGAACAUGUCAAACAGUCUUUUUCUUUUGUUGAAAUAGGUUUUUAAAUACUUAGAUAAAUGCACAGAAUGAGAAAGGACGUGUGUUUUAAAAUUAACUUUAAAUGUAUUAUUUAAAAUUAUUAGGCUCUUCUAACAAAGCAUUUUUUUUCUUUGCUUUUUAGGGCCACACCCAUGGCAUAUGAAAGUUCCCAGGUUAGGGGUUGAAUCCGAGCUGCAGCUGCUGGCCACAGCCACAGCCACAGCAACGUGGGAUCCAGCCACGUCUGUGACCUAUAUCACAGCUCACAGCAAUGCUGGAUCCUUAACCCACUGAGCAAGGCCAGGGAUCAAACCUGUGUCCUCAUGGAUACUAGUCAGGUUUGUUACCACUGAGCCCCAAUGGGAACUCCACAAAGCAUUUUUCUAAAGGGCUCAUAGGAACGGCUCCUGGUCUUACAUGACAGUAUCUGACCCAAGUAACCAGAAAGCCCUAUGGGGCUGGCCAUGCGGGUUCUGCUCCCCACAAUGGUUACAGUACUCAUUCAAUGUUUAUAAAGUAGCCUUCUGACUAUGAAUCAGCUCCCAAGUAGUUCGACCACAGGGAGAAAGGGCCAGCUGUGCAUGGUGGGUGGGCUCUGGCCCCUGGAAACUGAGUCAUGCUGAAGAUGAGCAUGUCAGCAUCCCGGCUUUGCACACUCGGCCUGAGAGCCUGGCUAACGGGACCUGUGCCAAAGGGUGGGUCUGAACUUGACAGGCCGGGACCCAGUCCUGUGACGGGCAGAGCCGCUUGGAGAGGGCUGUGACGGCAGCCCCCGCUUUGCAGGGCAUGAGCCAACCUUGCCUGCCAUUUCUCAUUGGUGUGUGCAGACACUCCCUCCACCCCUGCCUCCUAGGGCUGUUGUGAGGCUCGCAAGGUGACGUGAACUACAUGAGGCUCACUGAACCUUCGGGGACAGGCAGUUUCCCUGACUGUUCCCAAUCUAGAUCUAGAUUCUUGACUGGGGUAGGAUCCACCCAGGUCAGCUGCCUGCAGAUAAGGACACAGAAGAGGGCUGGGUCAUUCCUUGGGCCUCCACGAUGCCAGCAGAGGAGUCUGUUGGGGAUGUCUGAAGCCCCCUCUGCAAAGAGCGCUGCCAGGACUUACCCUGCGAAGUUAUGGGCAAAAGUUCUACAAAUGUCAGUUUUUCUCUCCAAGGAACUGCUGAAGUCCUUCAGGCAGCAGGUCUAGGAGAAUGGCCUGGUCUAGGCUGGAUGUACCUCUGGGGUCCCCUUGCCUGUCCCCUACCAUCUGGAAGUAGGCUCUCCUUCCUCACUGCUCACUAACGCACUGGGCCCAAGUCCAGCCUUUGUCCUCAGCCUCCCGGCUCUGCGUCCUCUCGCCCCAGAUGCCUCCCCUUCGGCACCUUUGGGGCCACGCGCACCUGGCUACCUCUCGCUUCCUCUCCACGUUUGCCUUUCUUGCCCCUUCCCUUCUGUAGUUCUCCCUCUAUUAUAUUCUAGCACUUCUUUUCUCUCAGUCCCCUUUUUUCUUCUUUGUGUCUGAUGUCAGGGACACCAGCCAACCACUCACAGCGGGACACACCCGAUGCUCCGUCCAGGGUCCCUGAAGCUGUCGUUUUCCUCACGUUUAAGGUGCUGCAGAUUGAGUUCUGAACCAGGAGCCAGAGGGCUGCGCUGGUUAAACUGAGUUACGCACUUUUAUAGACUCAAUCAUCAUGUCAUGAUUCACCAGAAAUAUCUGAACUCCAUUUCUCUCUAAACGCAUGAAUUCUCGAAUGUGGGAAACAAUCAUGGGCUCAGAUAAGCGCUCACUCUUUUUUGCCCCAACUUCAUGAGCUUAAUGAAGCACUGAGUCCUGUGGCUUCUUCCUCCGGGAUUUCUGGGAUCCAGCCCCGCCUCCGUCUCCAUGGCUACCAGCUUAGCCGGGGCUGUCCCCUGCCUCGUCCCUCGGCAGCGGCCCUCCCACCUGCCUCCUUGGCCCCGUCUUACUGCCCUCCAGUUCACUCUCUGCAGUGCAGACAGAGGGCACUUCCUGACACACAUGGUUGACAAGGCCACUCCAUUGUCCCUGGCCCUUGGGGUAAGACGGGAAGCCCUGAGCGUGGCGUGGAAGGCAUCUGCUCACGUCCUGCCUCCUCUGCCGCAGUCUCCACACCAGCCACUUCCUCUAGUCUGCUGGCCUCCUGCUGCCCCGGGCCUCUGCCCAGGUCGUCCUCCUGUUCACCUGCUUCCCUCUAGGAAUCUAACCUUCCAGGCUGGGAAUCUCUCCUGUACACUCCCACACGACGCUGUACCACAGGUGCCUGUUAGCCUCUGUGUGGCCCUCAGUAGGAGGCUCUGGGGGCAGGGCUGAGCUGAUCACUGUCGCCAGCAUCUCCCGGGGCCUGCCCAGCAUAGAGCCUGACACACACGCCACAGUCAGAAGAUACACCUGAAACAGGCGAGUGAAUGCAGCGCCGAUGUGGCCAUGUACGCAGUCCUAAGGGGUUUCUCACUUAGAAGUUCCCUGCUUCCUUGAGCACAGCAUCAUAAGAAUCCCAGGCACAUAUGCUGGUGAUUUCCUGUCCUGCAGCAAAUAUUCAGCAUGAUCAAAGAUGUAAAAAUGCAUUUUUGGGGCUUUUUAUAAAGGGCCGCACUUGUGGCAUAUGGAAGCUCCCAGGCUAGGGGCUGAAUUGGAGCUACAGCUGCCGGCCUGCACCAUAGCCACGGCGACAUGAGAUCCAACCUGCUUCUGAGACCCACACCACAGCUCACAGCAACGCCAGAUCCCCGACCCACUGAGUGAGGCCAGGGAUCGAAUCCACAUCCUCACGGAUACUAGUUGGGUUCAUGUCCGCUGUGCCACAAUGGCAACUCCAAAAAACGCAUUUUUGGUUCAUUUUAUUGGACUGAAAAACAAACCCAUAAAUCAGUUGGUAACAGGCAAUGGUUUUUCAGGCACAAAGGGCUUGGCAGAAAAAUGGUUAUUUCUGUCGCACAAUAAAUGGUACACGGCUCUGCUAGGAUAGUGUGGUGAACUGAAUGCACAAAAGUCGAGCGUAUGCUCUGAAACACUAUCUAGUUUUUUCUGCUUUCUACCAAAAGGUAUGUGAUACAAACCAUUAAAAAUCCUUGUGGGGCUUGGAAACAAUCUUGGCUUUACACUGCAGACAGUGUUGUGUUAUCUUUUGUGGAAAAAUUUAAAUUUCUUUAACUGCACCAAGGGUUCUUUUCUUCCCAAUAUUUCUCAGUAGCAUGAAAGGAUUGAGCCAUGAACAAUGGGAAGGAAUGAAUUCUUAACAAUUUUUAAGAUGGGUUCUAUUUAUCCGGGAACACAGAGGUGAGGCAGGAGGGGCUGGGAACAGCCCUCAUCCAGCCCCGAGCUCUUUUCUCUCCUGUGUAAUAAGAGGGUGGCACAGAUGCUACCAGAAAAUAACCAAGAAUUCGGAGCAGGCUGGACACCGGGCUUGGCAGGCACCCUGGGUGGGUGGUCUAGGCCUGUCUGCCCACCACAGGAAGCUGUGUGGGUGUGUGUGUGUGUAUGUGUGUGCUGCACACCUGUGCCUGGGUUGAAAGUGAAAGAGGAAGAAAGAGAGGAAGGACANGCGCGCGCUGCACACCUGUGUCUGGGUUGAAAGUGAAAGAGGAAGAAAGAGAGGAAGGACAAGCUCAGUAUAGUUUUUCUUUUUUUAAAAAAAAGAAACUUUAAAAAAUGGCAUUUCCAUUAUAAAUCAACUACACAUCAAUAAAACUAAAAAAUGAAAAAAAAAUUGGCAUUCUCGAAAUAAAUGUUACUAUUAUUCAAAAAAAAUCAACACCAAUUUGAUUGGGGUGGAGAGAUGUUACCUGACAUCUUAAGGAAUCUAUUUUCGAACAACCACAGAGUCUAUAAACAAGAUUUAACCAGCGUUCUUAGCCUAGCUUGUGUGCCAUGAACACUGUAAGCAGCCCCGUGAAGCCGUGGACCCUUCCCAGAAUGUUAAAUACAUACAUAGGGUGACAAAAGAAAGCAAUAAUAAGUAUUUUCAAAAUAGUUUAAAAGUUGCGAGACAGAAAAAUAAUGCUUACUUAUUCCUAUGCUAAAUACCAAGCGCUCUGUUUUAUCGACGACUCUAAACAGGCGCAAGUGUGAAGGAUCUUCUGGUUUAUCGGCCAUGUCUGUAACGUCAGAUGAAAAGUCUGUGGCUUCGGGUGGUGACUAAAGUGGUUUGAGGCCUGUGUCCACAACUGAAGGAAAUAUUAAAUUUCAUGUAGAGGUUAGUGUGACAAAGAUGUCAGUUUCUCCACCCAAGCUCAUGGACCCCUUGCAUCCCAUCCCUGGCGCCCAGGGCAGGAACCUCUGCUCUAAGCAAACCUGAGAGGCAAGGGGCCAGGCCCCUGGGCAGGCUCGUCCUUGGGGGGGUCGGGCCCAGGAAGUAAGCUGCACGCCUGCCUCGGGGCCGCGGUUCUGCUACUGCCCUCACAGUAUCUGAUCUCCUGCCCUGGGCCCUUUGGGGAACUUUCUCUGUCCGGCCAUGGGGUAGAUCAUGGGACCCUUCCUCCCACUGGAGGCUCGCCGCUCCCAUUCGAGGUGCUGCCUCCCCUCAGCUUUCUGAUACCUGCCGAUCCCUUCAUCCCUGCCCUGGGACCUCAGAGGACUAACAGGACUGCUGGGGAGGAGGCCUGAUCCAAGGAACAGAGAAGCUCUGUUACACAGAAACCAGGGCGCUCGGGCAGAAUAAUCUCAGGAGGGAAUAGAAUCUUCAUGAGCAUCUACGAGAGAUUUUUAAGACUCUGAAGUACUUACACAGAGAUCGUAUCUUGUCAGCCCGAUAACCCUGGGGAACCACUAGCUUGAUGAGCUUCCUUGUGACUCUGCUCGGGCCCGACCAGGUCGUGCCAGACCCCUCCCC
rnacentral:lncRNA from 1 species